rnacentral:miRNA from 1 species
UGCCAGAGGUUCUGUAUCUUUCGCCUUAUUCCCGCUCGUUUAAUAAAUAUACGAGCGGGAAUAAGGCGAAAGAUACAGAACCUCUGGC